rnacentral:rRNA from 1 species
GACAGAGGUGCCGAGCGUUAGGCGGAAUCACUGGGCUUAAAGCGUGUGUAGGCGGACCGUUAAGUACCUUGUGAAAUCCCACGGCUCAACCGUGGAACGGCUGGGUAUACUGGCGGUCUUGGGCAACCCAGGGGCUGUCGGAACAAGCGGUGGAGCGGUGAAAUGCGUAGAUAUCAAGAGGAACACCGGUUGCGAAGGCGGCUCUCUGGUCCAAACCUGACGCUGAGGAGCGAAAGCUAGGGGAGCAAACGGG